ACGUCUUGGCGGCGUGCUACACAUGCAAGUCGAACGAGAAAGUGGAGCAAUCCAUGAGUAAAGUGGCGCACGGGUGAGUAACACGUGACUAACCUACCCUGGAGUGGGGGAUAACUGAGGGAAACCUUAGCUAAUACCGCAUAAUACCCACGGGUCAAAGGAGCAAUUCGCUCCAGGAGGGGGUCGCGGCCGAUUAGUUAGUUGGCGGGGUAUGGCCCACCAAGACUGUGAUCGGUAUCCGGCCUGAGAGGGCGCACGGACACACUGGAACUGAAACACGGUCCAGACUCCUACGGGAGGCAGCAGUGGGGAAUUUUGCGCAAUGGGGGAAACCCUGACGCAGCAACGCCGCGUGGAGGAUGAAGUCCUUCGGGACGUAAACUCCUUUCGAUCGGGACGAUAAUGACGGUACCGGAAGAAGAAGCCCCGGCUAACUUCGUGCCAGCAGCCGCGGUAAUACGAGGGGGGCGAGCGUUGUUCGGAAUUAUUGGGCGUAAAGGGUGCGUAGGCGGUUUUGUAAGUCUUAUGUGAAAUCUAUGGGCUCAACUCAUAGACUGCAUGAGAAACUGCAGGGCUUGAGUGUGGGAGAGGUGAGU
rnacentral:rRNA from 1 species